rnacentral:lncRNA from 1 species
AAAUCUUCCAGUGGCCAUUUCCUUUGAGCAUCAGUCAUGUUGGUGGGUCAGAAAGUUUUGGACUUUGGAGCAUUUGAAUUUCUGGAUUAGGGAUACCCAAACUGUGUGUGUGUGUGUGUGUGUGUGUGUGUGUGUGUGUGUGUGUGUGUAUCCUCAUCCUUUUCAACUCUUGGAAAAUAUUCCAGAGUAUAAAUAAGCCACCUUUUCUUUCAUUGUACCCUAACUUUGGAAACUCAGUCUGUUUUAAAUUGUUUAAAAUUAUAAUGUUACAGCAAUUUCUGUACAUAUACCUGAGUACACAUUUAUUAGUAUUCUUUGAGUUUUUGAGAAAUAGACUGAAUAUAUUUAAAAUUUUGAUGAUGUCAAUUUUCCUUUCAAAAAGGCCCUAUAGUCAGGUGUGGUGGCUCAAGUCUCUACUCUCAGCUAUUAAUGAUGUUGCGAGGAUUGCUUGAGUCCAGAAGUUUGAGUCCAGCCUAGACAACACGGAGAGAUCUUGUCUCUAAAAAAAAAAAACCCAAAGAAACAAAAGGCCCUAUAAUUUAUAUUCCUUUAAAAAUGAUAUGACAGUGGCUAUUUCCUUAUAGUCUUACAACCUUUAAAAAUAUUGGAUAUGAUUGUCUAACUUGUGACAACUUGAUGAACAAACAUGUUUCAUUUUAAUUUACAUUUCUCUCAUCACUAGAGACUUAGUAUUUCUUCUUUUGUGAAUUUCUUAUUUGUAUCAUUUGCCUAUCUUUCCAUUGAGUUAUGUUUUGCUAACUGAUUCACAGGAUCAAUUAACUAUUUCAAUCAUGACAUAGGUGGCAAAUAACUUUCUCUAAACUUUAUUUAUAGUAGCUUUCACAGAAUACAGAAGUUUUAUAUUUUUAUGUGGAUAUAUUUGUCAACUUGUUGGGAUUUCGAUAAAUGUUUUUUCUAUUUUUGAGAUGGAGUUUCGCUCUUGUUGCCUAGGCUGGAGUGCAAUGGUGCGAUCUCGGCUCACUGCAACAUCUGCCUACCGGGUUCAAGCGAUUCUCACGCCUCAGCCUCCCGAGUAGCUGGGAUUACAGGCAUGCACCACCACGCCUGGCUAAUUUUGUAUUUUUAGUAGAGACGGGGUUUCUCCAUGUUGGUCAGGCUGGUCUCAAACUCCCAACCUCAGGUGAUCCACCCACCUAGGCCUCCCAAAGUACUGGAACUACAGGCAUGGCAGGUGGAUCACCUGAGGUCAGGAGUUUGAGACCAGCCUGACCAACAUGGAGAAACCCCAUCUCUACU